GAUGAACGCUGGCGGCGUGCUUAACACAUGCUAGUCGAACGGAAAGGCUCCUGCUUGCCGGGGUCCUCGAGUGGCGAACGGGUGAGUAACACGUGGGUGAUCUGCCCUGCACUUCGGGAUAAGCCUGGGAAACUGGGUCUAAUACCGGAUAGGACGAUGGUUUGGAUGCCAUUGUGGAAAGUUGUUCGGUGUGGGAUGAGCUCGCGGCCUAUCAGCUUGUUGGUGGGGUAAUGGCUUAUCAAGGCGUCAACGUGUAGCCGUCCUGAGAGGGUGUACGGCCACAUUGGGACUGAGCUCCUGCCCAGACUCCUACGGGAGGCAGCAGUGGGGAAUAUUGCACACUGGGCGCAAGCCUUAUGCAGCGACGCCGUGUGGCGGAUGACGGCCGUCGCGUUGUAAACUCCUUUCGCUAGAGACGAAGCGUCAGUGACGGUACCUGGCGAAGAAGCCCCGGCUAACUCCGUG
rnacentral:rRNA from 1 species